rnacentral:rRNA from 1 species
AAUCUGCCAAGGCGCUUGAGAGAACUCGGAUUAAGGAACUCUGCAAAUUGAUACCGUAACUUCGGAAGAAGGUAUGCCUUCGACGGUGUAGGGAUUUACUCCCGAAGCUGUUGAAGGUCGCAGGUAAUCGGUGGCUGCGACUGUUUAUCAAAAACACAGGACUCUGCGAACACGCAAGUGGAAGUAUAGGGUCUGACGCCUGCCCGGUGCCGGAAGGUUAAUUGAUGGGGUUAGCCGCAAGGCGAAGCUCUUGAUCGAAGCCCCGGUAAACGGCGGCCGUAACAAUAACGGUCCUAAGGUAGCGAAAUUCCUUGUCGGGUAAGUUCCGACCUGCACGAAUGGCGUAACGCUGGCCACACUGUCUCGACCCGAGACUCAGUGAAGUUGAAAUCGCUGUGAAGAUGCGGCGUUCCCGCGGCAAGACGGAAAGACCCCGUGAACCUUCACUACAGCUUUACACUGAACUUUGAACCUUUCUGUGUAGGAUAGGUGGGAGGCUAUGAAACUUGGGCGCUAGCUCGAGUGGAGCCAACCUUGAAAUACCACCCUGGGAUGUUUGAAGUUCUAACCUUGGUCCGUAAUCCGGAUUGGGGACAGUGUAUGGUGGGUAGUUUGACUGGGGCGGUCUCCUCCCAAAGAGUAACGGAGGAGUGCAAUGGUACGCUCAGCGCGGUCGGUCAUCGCGCUCUAGAGUGCAAAGGCAUAAGCGUGCUUAACUGUGAGACAGACACGUCGAACAGGUACGAAAGUAGGUCUUAGUGAUCCGGUGGUUCUGUAUGGAAGGGCCAUCGCUCAACGGAUAAAAGGUACUCCGGGGAUAACAGGCUUAUUCCUCCCAAGAGUCCACAUCGACGGAGGAGUUUGGCACCUCGAUGUCGGCUCAUCACAUCCUGGGGCUGUAGCAGGUCCCAAGGGUAUGGCUGUUCGCCAUUUAAAGUGGUACGCGAGCUGGGUUCAGAACGUCGUGAGACAGUUCGGUCCCUAUCUGCCGUGGGCGUUGGAAACUUGAGGGUGAGCUGUCCUUAGUACGAGAGGACCGGGAUGGACGUAUCUCUGGUGUUCCGGUUGUCACGCCAGUGGCACUGCCGGGUAGCUAUAUACGGACGGGAUAAGCGCUGAAAGCAUCUAAGCGCGAAGCCCCCCCCAAGAUUAGGUUUCCCUGGGAACUCGAUUCCCCUAAAGGGCCGUCGGAGACUACGACGUUGAUAGGCUGGGUGUGUAAGUGCAGCAAUGCAUUGAGCUAACCAGUACUAAUUGCCCGUGAGGCUUGACCAG